ensembl:lncRNA
CUGAUGUUGCUAGGUUUGUGACUCCAGCCCUCACAGCAGUACCAGUGCACAGAAAUGCAUCUAUCAGCCCAUGCAGAAGUAUGGGAUGGGCAGUCUCCAGUGAAAACUUGUCAUUUCCUGAUAUUUCUGAGGCUAGAAAUCAUGGUCAUUUAUCUCAGUGCUCUGCUCUUCUCUGUUAUCAGACCCCCAGUUCUCUGCCACAUCAGCUCUCCCCCAGCAGAGAUGCCUAUGACAGCACAGAUCCAUUUAUCUUCUCCAGGAAGUUUCCCCCAAGAGGAGCCCAAGGACCCUGCAGGUCAGCUCCUGGAAAGACGCAGACACCUUGGAUUCCCGGAGAUAAAGCUGCCAUUAAAAAGGCAUAAACAAAGGACAUGAAAAUCCAACUUGGUGAAGACAGCUUUAUCAAAGAGACAUUUGCUCAUCGUUACUGUGUGACACCGCAUCAGUGCUUCUCGUGUAUACGCAGUCUGGUCUGUAAUUUCAAAGAGUGCCUUCCAUUUCUUUGAGGAGGUGAUAUGACCAAGACAUUUGAAGUUGUUGAUUAUUAUGCAAAAGGUUAUCCAAACUGUGAAGAUAAGAAGCAACUUCAAGCAUUUCAAGGAGUCUCAUUUGUUUGGCGAUACGUUCUCCUCAAAGUUACAUGAUGUCAUGGGCCCAAUUUCAAGUGAUUAGUAACAACAGCAAAGCAGUCACUGAAAUAAUCUUUGAUAGAAGAGAGAACUCUGCAACCGUAUGAAGAGGCUGUGCUAUCAGUCGUUUUCUCAGCAUUAACAAAGUCUGAGCCUGCAGGCUUCACCCCACCACCACACCUGCUUCCGUCUUUGCUUUCCAAAGAGCUAUCCAGGCAGUCUGCAGAAGGGGAGCUUGAUGGAGUGCAGCUCGACCUUUUUAAUUUGAGCAAUCUUACAUUUAUCUCCUUCAUGUUGGAUUACCUCACUCACACUUUUUAUUUAAAUCCAUUCUCCUGACUUCAUUACUGAACAAUCUGCUUCUUGGGGAAGUGUGGAACAACUGAAUCUGUACAAAAGAAGUUUAAAACUAGUUGAGCUGAAACAAUGUCCUUGUUUUCUUUUUAUUUUAUAUAUUUU